AACGAACGCUGGCGGCAGGCUUAACACAUGCAAGUCGAGCGCCCCGCAAGGGGAGCGGCAGACGGGUGAGUAACGCGUGGGAACGUACCUUUUGGUUCGGAACAACUCCGGGAAACUGGAGCUAAUACCGGAUAAGCCCUAACGGGGAAAGAUUUAUCGCCGAAAGAUCGGCCCGCGUCUGAUUAGCUAGUUGGUGAGGUAACGGCUCACCAAGGCGACGAUCAGUAGCUGGUCUGAGAGGAUGAUCAGCCACACUGGGACUGAGACACGGCCCAGACUCCUACGGGAGGCAGCAGUGGGGAAUAUUAGACAAUGGGCGCAAGCCUGAUCCAGCCAUGCCGCGUGAGUGAUGAAGGCCUUAGGGUUGUAAAGCUCUUUUGUCCGGGAAGAUAAUGACUGUACCGGAAGAAUAAGCCCCGGCUAACUUCGUG
rnacentral:rRNA from 1 species